GGUAGGAUGGCUGAGAAUUUAGGCGAUAGAUUGUAAAUCUAUUUAGGAGGGAGCCCUCUUCUACCA
rnacentral:tRNA from 1 species